GCUGGGGAUAUACUCAGUGGUAAAGUGCCUGCCAAGCAUGCAUGAAGGCCUGGGUUCGAUACCCAGUUCUGCA
rnacentral:tRNA from 1 species